rnacentral:rRNA from 1 species
CCUACGGGCGGCAGCAGUGGGGAAUAUUGGACAAUGGGCGAAAGCCUGAUCCAGCCAUGCCGCGUGUGUGAAGAAAGCCUUCGGGUUGUAAAGCACUUUCAGUGGGGAAGAAAGCCUUGGGGCUAAUACCCUCGAGGAAGGACAUCACCCACAGAAGAAGCACCGGCUAACUCCGUGCCAGCAGCCGCGGUAAUACGGAGGGUGCGAGCGUUAAUCGGAAUUACUGGGCGUAAAGCGCGCGUAGGCGGUCUGAUAAGCCGGUUGUGAAAGCCCCGGGCUCAACCUGGGAACGGCAUCCGGAACUGUCAGGCUAGAGUGCAGGAGAGGAAGGUAGAAUUCCCGGUGUAGCGGUGAAAUGCGUAGAGAUCGGGAGGAAUACCAGUGGCGAAGGCGGCCUUCUGGACUGACACUGACGCUGAGGUGCGAAAGCGUGGGUAGCAAACAGGAUUAGAUACCCUUGUAGUC